UGAGAGUCAAAACCAUUGAACUGUCCAGGCAAACAGCAAAAACAUUCUGUUCAAGGAGCGGAGUCCGAUUUAGUUUUGAUGCGUUCAAUUGCCUGGUAAGUGGUAACUACAGAAUAUCUGUGACCUUAAGGAGAGAAGUUUAUACUGAUGUAAUUGAGCUAGUUUAAUUAAUUAAGGGAGAGAAAUUUGAAGCACAACUUUAUUCCAGGUAUUUAUAAAAGUAAAUGGACAGGACAUCUUUGAUUUUGUAAGAGGAAGAACGUUUAAGUUAAUUAAAGGUCGGGGAUAUAUUAAAUCGAUUCAGUUUGUAGUCUGGAUGUUGUUCAUUUGUAUGCUAACAGCAGGACAUCCGGCAUGACUUUAUGAAGGCCAUUUAUACCACAGCACUACGGAACUUUUCCCUAAAACUGUCGCAUGCAACCCGCUUACAACUUGAGUUACAGUGUGAAUCAAGCAUACAACUUACCUACGUUGUCGUUAGUGAGUUGUGUGCUUGAUUUACACAGAACAACUCAAGUUGUAAGCUGGUUGCAUGCGACAGUUUUAGGCAAAAGUUAUGUAGUGUAAAUCUGCCUUAAUGAGAGCGGUCACUUUUAGAGAGUUUAUAAGGAGAAAAAGUUUGAAGAGAGUUCUUGAGCUAUAACUGAAGUGAGUGAAAUUAAAGUGAUCCAAGCAACGUCGCGAUGUUCAUUUUUCUGUUAACAACAGGAUGCCUUUGUGUUGCCGAUUCAAUGCAUAUGCUUCUCUGAAUAUAUGUCUGUUAAAUGUUCAUUAGCAUUACCUUUAAUGCUUUAUUGAUGCUUUUUUACUGCUAUGCGUUUAACAUAUAGGCAGUAUUAGGCUACAUUAAUAGCUUUCCUUAAUUAACGACGUGAAAAAACACGUAUCCGCAUCUUUUAGGAACGCUAUUUUCAGAGGAAUUACUGCAACGGAGAGAUGUUGUUUUUCUCAGCUGCUGAAAGUUGUACAUUCUCUAUCGGUAGAUGCCGCUUUUCAGUCGCGCCGCUACGGAUUGCCGUGGUUUGUGUCUGAACUAUCUCAAACGUAUAGUGGCCCGCCAGUGCGGUGUAGGUAGACGCAAACCUCAGCAGCUAAUUUAUUGUAGAAUACUAUAUCAACACUUAGUUCCACGUUUGAGAAAUCGUUACAUGUAAUUUCCACCCACACACAGAAGCAAGGAAAAUCCGUAGAGCCCAAACUUGGCAAAUUGUACAGUACAUCUCUGAAACAACGUACAUUUGACCAUAAUCGGAUUGAAAACCUAAUUUGAAAUCAGUUUAAUCAAAAUUGCAGUUGCAUGAUUUGAAAAGCCUUCGUUCACACAAGAGCGUGCAAACCUACUCAAGUUUUACACUUUAAAUUAAACAGUUUGCACAAAAUGGAACCGCGGAGUAAUUUGGGUACGGCCCACUGACGUACGAAGAUAAUCUGGGUGGGACCCUAAAAUAACGUUAUCACGAAACGUUACAUGAUAUAAUAUUGAAAAGUUUAGUUAUUGACAGAAUGAAUAAAGUUUAAUGAAACAUGCAUAGGGGAGUAGCCGUGAAUGAGUCGUAUGCAGUGCCUGACUACCAUUGUAUGCAAAGAAUUUUAAGAAUCUCUAAAACAUAUAGACUAUAGUUCUAUAUUUGAUUGAAAACUUGUUUGAUUCAUGUGAGGUUAAGUUUAAAAAGCUCGGCAAGCCAAGUACACAAACAUUGAUCAAGUUAAGGCGUACACCGGUCUUUGUUGAUUUAAAAAUUGACGUUUUAUAGAAAGCGAAAUUUGAAUGUAAAAGAUUCAUACGAUUGUUUCUAUAGUUACGCAAACAUUUACUGAAAACAUUUAAAAACAAAAUGAUGUAUCCAUUUUUUGACGAUGUUUCCUUAAGGACAGAUGUAUGUACAUAGGCUUGACGUUUUCCUUGUAUUUUAAAGCCCUUGAAUCGGUUUUAUUUACAGUGAAGAUUAGUUUAUUUUCUUCAAAAUGCUUCAGCAUAAAAAUCGAUCACCAGACUAUAUUUUUUUUUUGCCUUAAUGAAAUCAUGUCGGUGAACAUGUAACUAUAUAGACUAUAGUCUACACUUUAUUAAAAAAAUAAAUAUUGCCUAAGAUUUCUAUCAAGUCGGCGAAAUCGCCCCAAAUUGCAUGCGUGGGAGUAUUACGAGUCUGCAGUGAUAUUGUUUGGGGGUAUGUCAUGCACUAUUCUAUAAGCAAAGGGCCUGACCAGAGUUGUUAUGAAAUCGCGACCUUUGAAACUUGGGGACAACAAAUCUUUCGAUUUCUCAGGUAUAAUAUUUUGUAGACGUAGUCUUUUAAACAGAAACUAAUAUAAUAAAGUUUAAGCCCAUUGCGUCUAAUUUUGUCCAUGUAAGUUGUUACAGGUCUGCAAACAAGUUGUUACAAAUCUGUUCACAAGCUGUCGACAAGUUGUGUUCGCAACUGCUUGUUCCCAGUUGUUGUAACAAGUUUGGAACAAGCUGUCAACAACUAGUAACAAGCUUGAUGGCAUUAUCAGACUUGUUACAAGGUUGUUCUAACAAGUCUGACACAGUCAUGAUAUAACAAGAAUGUUACAAGGUUGGCAGCACAAGGUUGUAACAAUAUUGUUAUAUCAUGACUGUAUUGGACUUGUUGGAACAACCUUGCAAUGUUGCAUGAUAAUGUUGUCUGAUAUAGUAAUAUGAACAAGGUUGUUACAAGUUAAUUGUAACAGCUUGUUCCAAAUUUGGGACUACUGCAGUGCGAACACCAACCUCGUACCUAGGCUCUGCGAACACAUCUUGUUGACGACUUUUUGGCAGACUUAUUACAUGCAAGAUUUGAGAUUUUUGCGUCGGUGUAGUCUAUCUUCUCAAUGCUUGCUUCUUUGCAUUACAUUUUCAGCAUUCAUAAAUAUAGAAACUAUAAAUACUAUUCGUAUUAAUAUAUGGGCAUGAUUAAAAUGAUAUCUAUUUUAUCCAAGUAAAAUCCGUGGAACAGUGUAUGAGUCCCAAGGAAGACUUCUCGACAGCCACUAUAGGCUAAACAGAAAAAGAUGUACUUCUUGAUGUAAUCCCCUCGUCAUGAGAGUUAGCAGGACCUUGAUUAUUAGUCCUCACAGGCUCGACGUUACUGGCGAAGGGCUAUGAAGGGCCUGUGUAUCUUUCAAGAAAUAGAAAGAAAUCUUCCACGAAGUUUUGAUUGAUUUGUUAUAUUCUGUGUUGUGGAUACUCGCCUGAACAUUGCGCCAGCAAGGCUCUUUAAAAAGUUUUAAUCCGUUAUUAUAACCAGACGCAGUAAAAUUAUGUGUUCAUUUAUAUGACUUGAUAAUAUUUCCUAUGUUUUGUAUCCAAAAUAAAUAAUCUCGUUGUUAGAGAUUAGCGCGCUUGUUAAUUACUUGUAGAUUAUUAAAAACCCAUGAUUAAAUUUUUGCUCAAUAUUUUAGGAAAUAAAUCAGUUUCAUUUACGUCAUGGAAUACGUGUAAAUGACCUUUAACGCGCUGUUAUUUAUAUCUAUUAUGGUUACUGACUGUGAUAUUUGUAAUCAUGUUCUAUGGAAAGCGAUACUGAAAAUAAUAAUGAAACAAGUAUAUACAUGAGGUAGAUUGAAACUAUAUUUAAGCACCCUAUAUUCGGGUCAACCGAAUCAUUUCCACACGAGGGUCGUAUGGGAAAGAAAAAGAGUAAAGGAGUUAUAGUUAUAGCAAAAAAAAAGUAGGGCAGAUUCCACUAUCUUAUCGAAAAGUCGCCCACAUAAAAGUAAACCGUUUGGGGGCGAGAGAGAAUAAAACUAAGUCACGAUUAAAAUCUAGUUACUGCACAGUUUUUAAUAACGUACUUUCGAGCGAAUCUCCUUCGCAAAGAACUGAAUUGUUCUGGGGUUUGAUAAAGUUUAGUAUUAAAGAUACAAGCAUGUGGAAGAUCGAUACUGGUAAUGAAAUGAUAUUGGUAAUAAAGUGACUGAUCCAGACUGCAAAAGUAAAUUUAAAAUUUUACUGAGAGAAAGGAGUAAAUUUUCUCAUAAAUUGUUCUCAAAAUUUUAAUUUUACACUUCAGUUUGGCCGUUAAAUUUCCCUUUCUCGCAUGGUUUUUAACAUGCACUAUUUCAAUCCAUUUAGUUGAAAUGUUCCACAACAACGGUUUUGAUGGUGACCCGAAGAAGAAUGGCAAGAUCACGUCGAGUGAACCAGUAGAAAAAACUGCAGCCAACAGUUUCAGGAAACUACUGAAGAAUUUCGCCUCUGAUACAAGUUUUGGUGGAAUUUCAAAGGCGACUCUCUCCGAUGGACAUAUCCGACGUUUCAUCUGGUUUCUGAUUUCUGCGACUUGUUAUGGCUUUACCAUUUACAUGUGUUAUUUGUUGAUCAAGACGUAUUUGGAAAAACCCAUCAAAACAUCCGUGGAUAUUUCCUACGAAAAGGUUA